rnacentral:rRNA from 1 species
AGAGUUUGAUCAUGGCUCAGGACGAACGCUGGCGGCGCGCCUAACACAUGCAAGUCGAGCGAGAACCAGGGCUUCGGCCCUGGGGACAGCGGCGAACGGGUGAGUAACACGUGGAUAACCUGCCCUCGGCACCGGAAUAGCCCGGGGAAACCCGGAUUAAUGCCGGAUAGCCCCACAUCCCUGCGGGGAACGUGGGAAAAGGUAGCUUCGGCCUCUGGCCGAGGAGGGGUCCGCGGUGGAUUAGCUUGUUGGCGGGGUAACGGCCCACCAAGGCGACGAUCCAUAGCUGGUCUGAGAGGACGGUCAGCCACACUGGGACUGAGACACGGCCCAGACUCCUACGGGAGGCAGCAGUGGGGAAUCUUGCGCAAUGGGCGAAAGCCUGACGCAGCGACGCCGCGUGCGGGAAGAAGGCCUUAGGGUUGUAAACCGCUUUCAGGAGGGACGAAGCCACUCGGGUUAAUAGCCCAGAGGGUGACGGUACCUCCAGAAGAAGCCCCGGCUAACUACGUGCCAGCAGCCGCGGUA